rfam:Salmo salar isolate Sally breed double haploid chromosome ssa02, whole genome shotgun sequence.
AUUCAACUUUUUUGUAAGUCGCUCUGGAUAAGAGUGUCUGUUAAAUGACGUAAA